rnacentral:rRNA from 1 species
AGUGAACGCUGGCGGUAGGCCUAACACAUGCCAGUCGAACGGCAGCACAGUAAGAGCUUGCUCUUACGGGUGGCGAGUGGCGGACGGGUGAGGAAUACAUCGGAAUCUACUUUUUCGUGGGGGAUAACGUAGGGAAACUUACGCUAAUACCGCAUACGACCUACGGUUGAAAGCAGGGGAUCUUCGGACCUUGCGCGAUUGAAUGAGCCGAUGUCGGAUUAGCUAGUUGGCGGGGUAAAGGCCCACCAAGGCGACGAUCCGUAGCUGGUCUGAGAGGAUGAUCAGCCACACUGGAACUGAGACACGGUCCAGACUCCUACGGGAGGCAGCAGUGGGGAAUAUUGGACAAUGGGCGCAAGCAUGAUCCAGCCAUACCGCGUGGGUGAAGAAGGCCUUCGGGUUGUAAAGCCCUUUUGUUGGGAAAGAAAAGCAGCAGGUUAAUACCCCGCUGUUCUGACGGUACCCAAAGAAUAAGCACCGGCUAACUUCGUG